rnacentral:tRNA from 1 species
GGGGCUAUAGCUCAGAUGGGAGAGCGCUUGCAUGGCAUGCAAUAGGUCGACGGUUCGAUCCCGUCUAGCUCCA